AGGUAAGCUACUAAGAGCGAAUGGUGGAUGCCUUGACUGGUAAAGGCGAUGAAGGACGUACUAGACUGCGAUAAGCUACGGGGAGCUGUCAAGAAGCUUUGAUCCGUAGAUUUCCGAAUGGGGCAACCCAAUGUAUAGAGAUAUACAUUACCUAUAUAGGAGCGAACGAGGGGAAUUGAAACAUCUUAGUACCCUCAGGAAAAGAAAUCAAUAGAGAUUGCGUCAGUAGCGGCGAGCGAAAGCGCAAGAGGGCAAACCCAGUGCUUGCACUGGGGGUUGUAGGACUGCAAUGUGCAAGAGGUAAGUUUAGCAGAACAUUCUGGAAAGUAUAGCCAUAGAGGGUGAUAGUCCCGUAUGCGAAAAACAAACCUUAGCUAGCAGUAUCCUGAGUAGGGCGGGACACGAGGAAUCCUGUCUGAAUCCGGGUCGACCACGAUCCAACCCUAAAUACUAAUACCAGAUCGAUAGUGCACAAGUACCGUGAGGGAAAGGUGAAAAGAACUGAGGUGAUCAGAGUGAAAUAGAACCUGAAACCAUUUGCUUACAAUCAUUCAGAGCCCUAUGUAGCAAUACAGGGUGAUGGACUGCCUUUUGCAUAAUGAGCCUGCGAGUUGUGGUGUCUGGCAAGGUUAAGCAAACGCGAAGCCGUAGCGAAAGCGAGUCUGAAUAGGGCGCUUAGUCAGAUGCUGCAGACCCGAAACGAAGUGAUCUAUCCAUGAGCAAGUUGAAGCUAGUGUAAGAACUAGUGGAGGACUGAACCCAUAGGCGUUGAAAAGCCCCGGGAUGACUUGUGGAUAGGGGUGAAAGGCCAAUCAAACUUCGUGAUAGCUGGUUCUCUCCGAAAUAUAUUUAGGUAUAGCGUUGUGUCGUAAUAUAAGGGGGUAGAGCACUGAAUGGGCUAGGGCAUACACCAAUGUACCAAACCCUAUCAAACUCCGAAUACCUUAUAUGUAAUCACAGCAGUCAGGCGGCGAGUGAUAAAAUCCGUCGUCAAGAGGGAAACAACCCAGACUACCAGCUAAGGUCCCUAAGUCUUACUUAAGUGGAAAACGAUGUGAAGUUACUUAAACAACCAGGAGGUUGGCUUAGAAGCAGCCAUCCUUUAAAGAAAGCGUAAUAGCUCACUGGUCUAGUGAUUUUGCGCGGAAAAUAUAACGGGGCUAAAGUAAGUACCGAAGCUGUAGACUUGCACACAACUUAGAUUAUUUAAGUUUAGAAUAUGAGAAACUAAGUUAUAUGUUUAGUUAUAUUUUUACUGAUUUUUAUAGAGUAAAGAUAGAAAUAAAACUUAGUGAAAUCAGUAAAAAUAUUCUUAGGCUAAAGUUAAGUAGUUUAAGUUGUGUGCAAGUGGUAGGAGAGCGUUCUAUUUGCGUCGAAGGUAUACCGGUAAGGAGUGCUGGAGCGAAUAGAAGUGAGCAUGCAGGCAUGAGUAGCGAUAAUUAAUGUGAGAAUCAUUAACGCCGUAAACCCAAGGUUUCCUACGCGAUGCUCGUCAUCGUAGGGUUAGUCGGGUCCUAAGUCGAGUCCGAAAGGGGUAGACGAUGGCAAAUUGGUUAAUAUUCCAAUACCAACAUUAGUGUGCGAUGGAAGGACGCUUAGGGCUAAGGGGGCUAGCGGAUGGAAGUGCUAGUCUAAGGUCGUAGGAGGUUAUACAGGCAAAUCCGUAUAACAAUACUCCGAGAACUGAAAGGCUUUUUGAAGUCUUCGGAUGGAUAGAAGAACCCCUGAUGCCGUCGAGCCAAGAAAAGUUUCUAAGUUUAGCUAAUGUUGCCCGUACCGUAAACCGACACAGGUGGGUGGGAUGAGUAUUCUAAGGCGCGUGGAAGAACUCUCUUUAAGGAACUCUGCAAAAUAGCACCGUAUCUUCGGUAUAAGGUGUGGUUAGCUUCGUACUAGGAUUUACUCCGAAAGCGAAGAAACUUACAACAAAGAGUCCCUCCCGACUGUUUACCAAAAACACAGCACUCUGCUAACUCGUAAGAGGAUGUAUAGGGUGUGACGCCUGCCCGGUGCUCGAAGGUUAAUUGAUGGGGUUAGCAUUAGCGAAGCUCUUGAUCGAAGCCCGAGUAAACGGCGGCCGUAACUAUAACGGUCCUAAGGUAGCGAAAUUCCUUGUCGGUUAAAUACCGACCUGCAUGAAUGGCGUAACGAGAUGGGAGCUGUCUCAAAGAGGGAUCCAGUGAAAUUGUAGUGGAGGUGAAAAUUCCUCCUACCCGCGGCAAGACGGAAAGACCCCGUGGACCUUUACUACAGCUUGACACUGCUACUUGGAUAAGAAUGUGCAGGAUAGGUGGGAGGCUUUGAGUAUAUGACGCCAGUUGUAUAUGAGCCAUUGUUGAGAUACCACUCUUUCUUAUUUGGGUAGCUAACCAGCUUGAGUUAUCCUCAAGUGGGACAAUGUCUGGUGGGUAGUUUGACUGGGGCGGUCGCCUCCCAAAUAAUAACGGAGGCUUACAAAGGUUGGCUCAGAACGGUUGGAAAUCGUUCGUAGAGUAUAAAGGUAUAAGCCAGCUUAACUGCAAGACAUACAAGUCAAGCAGAGACGAAAGUCGGUCUUAGUGAUCCGGUGGUUCUGUGUGGAAGGGCCAUCGCUCAAAGGAUAAAAGGUACCCCGGGGAUAACAGGCUGAUCUCCCCCAAGAGCUCACAUCGACGGGGAGGUUUGGCACCUCGAUGUCGGCUCAUCGCAUCCUGGGGCUGGAGCAGGUCCCAAGGGUAUGGCUGUUCGCCAUUUAAAGCGGUACGCGAGCUGGGUUCAGAACGUCGUGAGACAGUUCGGUCCCUAUCUGCCGUGGGCGUAAGAAGAUUGAAGAGAUUUGACCCUAGUACGAGAGGACCGGGUUGAACAAACCACUGGUGUAGCUGUUGUUCUGCCAAGAGCAUCGCAGCGUAGCUAAGUUUGGAAAGGAUAAACGCUGAAAGCAUCUAAGCGUGAAGCCAACUCUAAGAUGAAUCUUCUCUAAGCUCUCUAGAAGACUACUAGUUUGAUAGGCUGGGUGUGUAAUGGAUGAAAGUCCUUUAGCUGACCAGUACUAAUAGAGCGUUUGGCUUAUCUUU
rnacentral:rRNA from 1 species